AGGCUUUGAUCCUGGCUCAGAACGAACGCUGGCGGCAGGCUUAACACAUGCAAGUCGGGCGAGGACUUCGGUCCUAGCGGCGGACGGGUGAGUAACGCGUGGGAACGUGCCCUUUGGUUCGGAAUAGCCCCGGGAAACUGGGAUUAACGCCGGAUGUGCCCUUCGGGGGAAAGAUUUAUCGCCAAAGGAUCGGCCCGCGUUGGAUUAGGUAGUUGGUGGGGUAAUGGCCUACCAAGCCGACGAUCCAUAGCUGGUUUGAGAGGAUGAUCAGCCACACUGGGACUGAGACACGGCCCAGACUCUACGGGAGGCAGCAGUGGGGAAUCUUGGACAAUGGGGGCAACCCUGAUCCAGCCAUGCCGCGUGAGUGAAGAAGGCCUAAGGGUUGUAAAGCUCUUUCAGCGGGGAAGAAUAGUACGGCACUCCGCAUGAAGAAGCCCCGGCGAAACUGAGCUGUCUUUUGGGGGU
rnacentral:rRNA from 1 species